GGAAGUAAAAGAACAAGGUUUCCGUAGGUGAACCUGCGGAAGGAUCAUUAUUGUAUAACCGAGGUGCGAGGGCUGUCGCUGACCCGAAAGGUCGUGCACGCCCGAGUGCCCUCACACACAUCCAUCUCACCCCUAUGUGCACCACCGCGUGGGUCCCCCUUUGGCUUGUUCGGAGGGGGGCUUACGUUUUCACACAAACUUUGUAUGCAGUGUAGAAUGUAUUUUUUGUUUUUGCGAUCACGCAAUCAAUACAACUUUCAACAACGGAUCUCUUGGCUCUC
rnacentral:misc_RNA from 1 species